rnacentral:rRNA from 1 species
GUGGGGUGACUGCGUACCUUUUGUAUAAUGGGUCAGCGACUUAUAUUCUGUAGCAAGGUUAACCGAAUAGGGGAGCCGGAGGGAAACCGAGUCUUAAUUGGGCGUUAAGUUGCAGGGUAUAGACCCGAAACCCGGUGAUCUAGCCAUGGGCAGGUUGAAGGUUGGGUAACACUAACUGGAGGACCGAACCGACUAAUGUU